GAUGAACGCUGGCGGCGUGCCUAAUACAUGCAAGUCGAGCGAACGGACGAGUAGCUUGCUUCUCUGAUGUUAGCGGCGGACGGGUGAGUAACACGUGGAUAACCUACCUAUAAGACUGGGAUAACUUCGGGAAACCGGAGCUAAUACCGGAUAAUAUUAUGAACCGCAUGGUUCAAAAGUGAAAGACGGUCUUGCUGUCACUUAUAGAUGGAUCCGCGCUGCAUUAGCUAGUUGGUAAGGUAACGGCUUACCAAGGCAACGAUGCAUAGCCGACCUGAGAGGGUGAUCGGCCACACUGGAACUGAGACACGGUCCAGACUCCUACGGGAGGCAGCAGUAGGGAAUCUUCCGCAAUGGGCGAAAGCCUGACGGAGCAACGCCGCGUGAGUGAUGAAGGUCUUCGGAUCGUAAAACUCUGUUAUUAGGGAAGAACAUAUGUGUAAGUAACUGUGCACAUCUUGACGGUACCUAAGCAGAAAGCCACGGCUAACUACGG
rnacentral:rRNA from 1 species